rnacentral:rRNA from 1 species
UGCCUCAGUAACGGCGAGUGAAGCGGCAACAGCUCAAAUUUGAAAUCUGGCCGCAAGGUCCGAGUUGUAAUUUGCAGAGGAUGCUUUUGGCGAGGUGCCUUCCGAGUUCCCUGGAACGGGACGCCAUAGAGGGUGAGAGCCCCGUACGGUAGGACCACCGAGCCUUUGUAAAGCUCCUUCGACGAGUCGAGUAGUUUGGGAAUGCUGCUCUAAAUGGGAGGUGUACGUCUUCUAAAGCUAAAUACCGGCCAGAGACCGAUAGCGCACAAGUAGAGUGAUCGAAAGAUGAAAAGCACUUUGAAAAGAGGGUUAAAAAGUACGUGAAAUUGUUGAAAGGGAAGCAUUUAUGACCAGACUUGGACUUGGUUGAACAUCCGGCGUUCUCGCCGGUGCACUCUGCCAGUUCAGGCCAGCAUCAGUUUGCCCCGGGGGACAAAGGCGGUGGGAAUGUGGCUCCUCCGGGAGUGUUAUAGCCCGCCGUGUAAUGCCCUGGGGUGGACUGAGGAACGCGCUUCGGCUCGGAUGCUGGCGUAAUGGUCAUCAAUGACCCGUCUUGAAACACGGACCAAGGAGUCGUCUUCGUAUGCGAGUGUUCGGGUGUCAAACCCCUACGCGUAAUGAAAGUGAACGUAGGUGAGAGCUUCGGCGCAUCACCGACCGAUCCUGAUGUUCUCGGAUGGAUUUGAGUAAGAGCAUACGGGGCCGGACCCGAAAGAAGGUGAACUAUGCCUGUAUAGGGUGAAGCCAGAGGAAACUCUGGUGGAGGCUCGCAGCGGUUCUGACGUGCAAAUCGAUCGUCAAAUAUGGGCAUGGG